GGACGCAGGAGGAUAAGGUAAGCGCGGUAUUGGAUAUCCGCGUCCAAGCAGUUAGGCUGGGAAAUAGGCAAAUCCGUUUCCCAUAAGGCUGAGCUGUGAUGACGAGCGAAAUAUAGUAGCGAAGUUCCUGAUUCCACACUGCCAAGAAAAGCCUCUAGCGAGGUGAGAGGUGCCCGUACCGCAAACCGACACAGGUAGGCGAGGAGAGAAUCCUAAGGUGAUCGAGAGAACUCUCGUUAAGGAACUCGGCAAAAUGACCCCGUAACUUCGGGAGAAGGGGUGCUCUGUUAGGGUGCAAGCCCGAGAGAGCCGCAGUGAAUAGGCCCAGGCGACUGUUUAGCAAAAACACAGGUCUCUGCGAAGCCGUAAGGCGAAGUAUAGGGGCUGACGCCUGCCCGGUGCUGGAAGGUUAAGAGGAGCGCUUAGCGUAAGCGAAGGUGCGAAUUGAAGCCCCAGUAAACGGCGGCCGUAACAAUAACGGUCCUAAGGUAGCGAAAUUCCUUGUCGGGUAAGUUCCGACCCGCACGAAAGGCGCAACGAUCUGGGCACUGUCUCAACGAGAGACUCGGUGAAAUUAUAGUACCUGUGAAGAUGCAGGUUACCCGCGACAGGACGGAAAGACCCCGUGGAGCUUUACUGCAGCCUGAUAUUGAACGUUGGUACAGCUUGUACAGGAUAGGUAGGAGCCUUGGAAACCGGAGCGCCAGCUUUGGUGGAGGCAUCGGUGGGAUACUACCCUGGCUGUAUUGACCUUCUAACCCGCCGCCCUUAUCGGGCGGGGAGACAGUGUCAGGUGGGCAGUUUGACUGGGGCGGUCGCCUCCUAAAAGGUAACGGAGGCGCCCAAAGGUUCCCUCAGAAUGGUUGGAAAUCAUUCGCAGAGUGUAAAGGCACAAGGGAGCUUGACUGCGAGACCUACAAGUCGAGCAGGGACGAAAGUCGGGCUUAGUGAUCCGGUGGUUCCGCAUGGAAGGGCCAUCGCUCAACGGAUAAAAGCUACCCCGGGGAUAACAGGCUUAUCUCCCCCAAGAGUCCACAUCGACGGGGAGGUUUGGCACCUCGAUGUCGGCUCAUCGCAUCCUGGGGCUGUAGUCGGUCCCAAGGGUUGGGCUGUUCGCCCAUUAAAGCGGUACGCGAGCUGGGUUCAGAACGUCGUGAGACAGUUCGGUCCCUAUCCGUCGCGGGCGCAGGAAAUUUGAGAGGAGCUGUCCUUAGUACGAGAGGACCGGGAUGGACGCACCGCUGGUGUACCAGUUGUUCUGCCAAGGGCAUCGCUGGGUAGCUAUGUGCGGACGGGAUAAGUGCUGAAAGCAUCUAAGCAUGAAGCCCCCCUCAAGAUGAGAUUUCCCAUUCCGCAAGGAAGUAAGAUCCCUGAAAGAUGAUCAGGUUGAUAGGUCUGAGGUGGAAGUGUGGCGACACAUGGAGCUGACAGAUACUAAUCGAUCGAGGACUUAACC
rnacentral:rRNA from 1 species